AUUGAACGCUGGCGGCAUGCCUUACACAUGCAAGUCGAACGGUACCGGUUUAGCUGAAGGGUUGCGAACGGGUGAGUUAUUUUUCCGAAACUGCCCCGUCGUGGGGGGUUAAUUCUCGAAAGAGCAGCUAAUUCCCCCUACCACCUUGGGGUUAAAGCGGGGGGUCGCAAAAACUCGCGCCAUUUGAACCGCCGGAUAUCAGAUUAGGUAGUUGGUGAGGUAAAGGCUCACCAAGCCGACGAUCUGUAGCUGGUCUGAGAGGACGACCAGCCACACUGGGACUGAGACACGGCCCAGACUCCUACGGGAGGCAGCAGUGGGGAAUUUUGGACAAUGGGCGCAAGCCUGAUCCAGCCAUGCCGCGUGCGGGAAGAAGGCCUUCGGGUUGUAAACCGCUUUUGUCAGGGAAGAAAAGGUUCUGGCUAAUACCUGGGACUCAUGACGGUACCUGAAGAAUAAGCACCGGCUAACUACGUG
rnacentral:rRNA from 1 species